AUAAAAGCAGGCUGCGGAGCCAGCAGCGACAAUCGGUUGGGGUGUUUUUCAGGUGUGUGGGUGGUUUAGUUUUUUCGCUGUUUGGGGCCAUAUUGCUUUUAUGAGCUGUGACACUCACCGCGAAAGUCUGCGAAGCUUCAUUCAUGUAAGCCCCCGAGACCACGAACCUGCCGAGAGGAACGAACAAUUGUAGACGCGCCGCCUUAAGAGCUCUAACACUCACCGCGAAGGUCCGCAACUUCACUCCUGAGCCAGCGAGACCAGGAACCCACCAGAAGGAAAAAACUCUGGAACACAUCGGAAUAUCAGAAAGAACAAACUCCAGACACGCCGCCUUUAACAACUGUAACACUCACAGCGAGUGUCUGCACUUCAUUCUUGAAGUUAGUAAGAUCAAGAACCCACCACUUCCGGACACAAAAGUAAGGGGAUUACAGGUGAGAACUAUGGGGGGAGAGACGUAAGGCAGAAGAAGAUUACAUGUACGAGUUGACAGCAUAAUUCACUGGCAGAAUUCCAAAAA
rnacentral:lncRNA from 1 species